GCAGAUCGUAGUAACAACACCAGGAUAAUCUGAAGCUGCAAAAUGCUCUUGUAUGUGGCUGUACAGCUCUGGCUUCUGCUUCCGCAGUCAGGUCUUGCACAAAGUGUCUCCGUGGACCAGUCUCCUCCAGAAGUGACAAUCUCAGAGGGACAAAGUGCAACUUUACACUGUAAUUUCACCACUCUUGACACCAGCCCGUAUCUGUUUUGGUACCGGCAGUAUCCGAACCAGCCUCCCCAGCAUAUACUGACUAAAACGAACUUUGAUGCUCCGGGUCAGGCGCUUGUCCAGGGAAAAUUCUCAGCAUCUUUGUACUUGGAUAAUAGGACGGUUCCCUUCCAGAUUGAGGCUGUUUCUCACCAGGAGAGCGCUGUGUAUUUCUGUGCUCUGAGACCCACAGUGCGGGAGAACUGCAUCUCCGCUCCUACAAAGAGUGAGCGGGAGGUUGUUUAAGGCAAUAUGACAGAAUCGUAUAAACGCGGGGCUGGAAGGGACCUCGAGAGACGAUCUAGUCCAGCCCCCGGUGAUGAGGCAGGAC